rnacentral:rRNA from 1 species
AACGAACGCUGGCGGCAGGCCUAACACAUGCAAGUCGAGCGCCCCGCAAGGGGAGCGGCGGACGGGUGAGUAACGCGUGGGAACGUACCUUUUGCUUCGGAAUAGCCUCGGGAAACUGGGAGUAAUACCGAAUGUGCCCUACGGGGGAAAGAUUUAUCGGCAAAAGAUCGGCCCGCGUUGGAUUAGGUAGUUGGUGGGGUAAUGGCCUACCAAGCCGACGAUCCAUAGCUGGUUUGAGAGGAUGAUCAGCCACACUGGGACUGAGACACGGCCCAGACUCCUACGGGAGGCAGCAGUGGGGAAUCUUAGACAAUGGGCGCAAGCCUGAUCUAGCCAUGCCGCGUGAGCGAUGAAGGCCUUAGGGUUGUAAAGCUCUUUCGUGGGGGAAGAUAAUGACUGUACCCCAAGAAGAAGCCCCGGCUAACUCCGUGCCAGCCGCCGCGGUAAUAC